GAUGAACGCUGGCGGCGUGCCUAAUACAUGCCAGUCGAGCGAACAGACGAGGAGCUUGCUCCUCUGACGUUAGCGGCGGACGGGUGAGUAACACGUGGAUAACCUACCUAUAAGACUGGGAUAACUUCGGGAAACCGGAGCUAAUACCGGAUAAUAUAUUGAACCGCAUGGUUCAAUAGUGAAAGACGGUUUUGCUGUCACUUAUAGAUGGAUCCGCGGCGCAUUAGCUAGUUGGUAUGGUAACGGCUUACCAAGGCAACGAUGCGUAGCCGACCUGAGAGGGUGAUCGGCCACACUGGAAGUGAGCCACGGUACAGGCUCCUAGGGGAGGCAGAGGUAGGGAAUCGUGCGCAAUGGGCGAAAGCCUGACGGAGCAACGCCGCGUGAGUGAUGAAGGUCUUCGGAUCGUAAAACUCUGUUAUUAGUGAAGAACAAAUGUGUAAGUAACUAUGCACGUCUUGACGGUACCUAAUCAGAAAGCCACGGCUAACUACGUG
rnacentral:rRNA from 1 species